rnacentral:rRNA from 1 species
GCAAGUCGAGCGGUAACAGAUCUAGCUUGCUAGAUGCUGACGAGCGGCGGGCGGGUGAGUUAUGCAUAGGAAUCUGCCCGAUAGUGGGGGAUAACCUGGGGAAACCCAUGCUUAUACCGCAUACGUCCUACGGGAGAAAGGGGGCUCCGGCUCCCGCUAUGGGAUGAGCCUAUGUCGGAUUAGCUAGUUGGUGAGGUAACGGCUCACCAAGGCGACGAUCCGUAGCUGGUCUGAGAGGAUGAUC